AAAAGAAAUCAUCGAGUAUUUAAUAAGACCUCCAUUUGAAAAAAACUAUACUAGAAUAUCAUUUGACAACUUGGAGGGAGUUUCUCUGCUACAACUUGUAAGCGAUAUUUUAUGUCAGAUUGAAUCGAAGUCAGAAAAAAUAAAAAUUCUGGAAGAAGGAUUGAAAAAAACCACAAAAAGAAUUAGUGUGUCUCUCAAUAUCUUAAAAUUUCCAUUUGAAACAACCAACGAAAUUUUUCAGGCAGAUUUGGUAAGAGGCAAAAAACCUGUUCUCUACAAUAUCAUGAUUUGGCUUUUAAAAAAUUUUGAAAAGCUGUCGACGAGAGCAUAUUUGGCCAAAUAUCUAAUAAGAAUAAACAUACCCCCUGAGUUUUUGCAGAAUAACCAGUUAUCAGACUUAUAUACUCAGUACAACGAAUCAAUUGAAAAAUUUAAACAAAUGCAUCGAGGUUACGAAGAAAUGAAAAAUUCCUUUAAAGAAGGAUCGGAGUUAAAAAUCGUACUUGAUUCAGCUGAGAAAGAGCAACAAGACUUAAAUCUUAGAGUCAGCCAAACUAAGAAAAACGUCAUUAAUAAAUAUUUUUAAUUUAGUUAAAAGGACUGGAUUAUCCUAAUAAGUUAGAAAGUUUGUGCAAAGAAAUUCACCAACAAAGAAAAAAAAUGGCAAAACUUCAGAUAGAAGGAAAAAAAUUGACAGAAGAACUUUCAAAAAACGAAUGUAAAGUUAACAGACUUAAAGUGGACUUUGAGCGUUCGCAAAACAUCAAUGAAGAUAUUAACCCAAAUGGUUUAAUUGAAAAAUUAAAAAACGAGCUUACAUUCAAAAAAUAUCUAAUUUCUGAAAAAUUUCCUCUUCAAAUAGAAAAUUUAAAAAAAGAAUUAAAAAGUCUUCGACUUAUUGAGGCAGAGAAUGUUUCACCG